UGGGGAAUUUUGGACAAUGGGCGAAAGCCUGAUCCAGCAAUGCCGCGUGUGUGAAGAGGGCCUUCGGGUUGUAAAGCACUUUUGUCCGGAAAGAAAUCCUUGGCUCUAAUACAGUCGGGGGAUGACGGUACCGGAAGAAUAAGCACCGGCUAACUACGUGCCAGCAGCCGCGGUAAUACGUAGGGUGCAAGCGUUAAUCGGAAUUACUGGGCGUAAAGCGUGCGCAGGCGGUUUGCUAAGACCGAUGUGAAAUCCCCGGGCUCAACCUGGGAACUGCAUUGGUGACUGGCAGGCUAGAGUAUGGCAGAGGGGGGUAGAAUUCCACGUGNUAGCAGUGAAAUGCGUAGAGAUGUGGAGGAAUACCGAUGGCGAAGGCAGCCCCCUGGGCCAAUACUGACGCUCAUGCACGAAAGCGUGGGGAGCAAACAGGAUUAGAUACCCUGGUAGUCCACGCCCUAAACGAUGUCAACUAGUUGUUGGGGAUUCAUUUCCUUAGUAACGUAGCUAACGCGUGAAGUUGACCGCCUGGGGAGUACGGUCGCAAGAUUAAAACUUAAAGGAAUUGAC
rnacentral:rRNA from 1 species